AAUGAAACCAGUCAUAACGUGUGCAGCCACAAGGUGGCGAUAUUUAGCCACCCAUGCUGACUGAACGGCAUACCAAGAGUUAAACAGCCUGCCUGCGGGAAAAGCAGCGUUUUGAACUUAACAGCUGAGUGCAGCCCUGAAUAUAAUGGUGAAACAGAGCGCACGUAAGUAUACCUGUGUGUGAAUGGGAAAAGAAAUACAGAAGCCGGUAUGCUGAAGUAUGACAGGGGAGCUAUAUGUGCCG
rnacentral:lncRNA from 1 species